rnacentral:rRNA from 3 species
AAAUUGAAGAGUUUGAUCAUGGCUCAGAUUGAACGCUGGCGGCAGGCCUAACACAUGCAAGUCGAGCGGUAGCACAGAGAGCUUGCUCUCGGGUGACGAGCGGCGGACGGGUGAGUAAUGUCUGGGAAACUGCCUGAUGGAGGGGGAUAACUACUGGAAACGGUAGCUAAUACCGCAUAACGUCGCAAGACCAAAGUGGGGGACCUUCGGGCCUCAUGCCAUCAGAUGUGCCCAGAUGGGAUUAGCUAGUAGGUGGGGUAACGGCUCACCUAGGCGACGAUCCCUAGCUGGUCUGAGAGGAUGACCAGCCACACUGGAACUGAGACACGGUCCAGACUCCUACGGGAGGCAGCAGUGGGGAAUAUUGCACAAUGGGCGCAAGCCUGAUGCAGCCAUGCCGCGUGUGUGAAGAAGGCCUUCGGGUUGUAAAGCACUUUCAGCGGGGAGGAAGGCGGUGAGGUUAAUAACCUCAUCGAUUGACGUUACCCGCAGAAGAAGCACCGGCUAACUCCGUGCCAGCAGCCGCGGUAAUACGGAGGGUGCAAGCGUUAAUCGGAAUUACUGGGCGUAAAGCGCACGCAGGCGGUCUGUCAAGUCGGAUGUGAAAUCCCCGGGCUCAACCUGGGAACUGCAUUCGAAACUGGCAGGCUAGAGUCUUGUAGAGGGGGGUAGAAUUCCAGGUGUAGCGGUGAAAUGCGUAGAGAUCUGGAGGAAUACCGGUGGCGAAGGCGGCCCCCUGGACAAAGACUGACGCUCAGGUGCGAAAGCGUGGGGAGCAAACAGGAUUAGAUACCCUGGUAGUCCACGCCGUAAACGAUGUCGAUUUGGAGGUUGUGCCCUUGAGGCGUGGCUUCCGGAGCUAACGCGUUAAAUCGACCGCCUGGGGAGUACGGCCGCAAGGUUAAAACUCAAAUGAAUUGACGGGGGCCCGCACAAGCGGUGGAGCAUGUGGUUUAAUUCGAUGCAACGCGAAGAACCUUACCUGGUCUUGACAUCCACAGAACUUUCCAGAGAUGGAUUGGUGCCUUCGGGAACUGUGAGACAGGUGCUGCAUGGCUGUCGUCAGCUCGUGUUGUGAAAUGUUGGGUUAAGUCCCGCAACGAGCGCAACCCUUAUCCUUUGUUGCCAGCGGUUCGGCCGGGAACUCAAAGGAGACUGCCAGUGAUAAACUGGAGGAAGGUGGGGAUGACGUCAAGUCAUCAUGGCCCUUACGACCAGGGCUACACACGUGCUACAAUGGCAUAUACAAAGAGAAGCGACCUCGCGAGAGCAAGCGGACCUCAUAAAGUAUGUCGUAGUCCGGAUUGGAGUCUGCAACUCGACUCCAUGAAGUCGGAAUCGCUAGUAAUCGUAGAUCAGAAUGCUACGGUGAAUACGUUCCCGGGCCUUGUACACACCGCCCGUCACACCAUGGGAGUGGGUUGCAAAAGAAGUAGGUAGCUUAACCUUCGGGAGGGCGCUUACCACUUUGUGAUUCAUGACUGGGGUGAAGUCGUAACAAGGUAACCGUAGGGGAACCUGCGGUUGGAUCACCUCCUUACCUUAAAGAA